CUUAUGCCUGGGACUAUGGUCCCCAUUCCCCACAUGUUUGUAAUCUACAGUGUCAAUUGUUCAGCAGACAGAAAUCAUAGAGAGUGAACUGUAAUCCAAGAUGGCAUAUCAAUUACUGUGCGAUCUUUAACCAGCAGGGACAGUAGUCAAGUACAGAGACAUUACAGUGGAGUGCUUUGACGGAUUGAGCGAGGGCUGAAAAAUGGCAUCCUCCAGAAUCCUGUAGGUGAAGUGGUUGCUUAGUCUUGAAUAAUGGCUGGUGAAAUUGGGUAAACACUGCUUUGCUGUUGAUGCCGGACCGGAUUCUACAUGUGCAAAGUUUCAUUGGUUGUUAUGCCAAUACCUGCAACAGGCUGCUGAUGGGCAGGUAAGGACGUAUCGAAGGGAGAUUAUUCUAGCCCAAGUACUCUAGAAACGAUUUUAUUCCAUGUCAAUCAGACAGAGCAUGGGCAUCUGGACAUGGAAAUGAACCAUUCCGUGUUUACCUCGUCGCCAAGGCGCCAGGUCAAUC